GCUAUAAUGCAGUCGAGCGAUGGAUUAAGAGCUUGCUCUUAUGAAGUUAGCGGCGGACGGGUGAGUAACACGUGGGUAACCUGCCCAUAAGACUGGGAUAACUCCGGGAAACCGGGGCUAAUACCGGAUAACAUUUUGAACUGCAUGGUUCGAAAUUGAAAGGCGGCUUCGGCUGUCACUUAUGGAUGGACCCGCGUCGCAUUAGCUAGUUGGUGAGGUAACGGCUCACCAAGGCAACGAUGCGUAGCCGACCUGAGAGGGUGAUCGGCCACACUGGGACUGAGACACGGCCCAGACUCCUACGGGAGGCAGCAGUAGGGAAUCUUCCGCAAUGGACGAAAGUCUGACGGAGCAACGCCGCGUGAGUGAUGAAGGCUUUCGGGUCGUAAAACUCUGUUGUUAGGGAAGAACAAGUGCUAGUUGAAUAAGCUGGCACCUUGACGGUACCUAACCAGAAAGCCACGGCUAACUACGUGCCAGCAGCCGCGGUAAUACGUAGGUGGCAAGCGUUAUCCGGAAUUAUUGGGCGUAAAGCGCGCGCAGGUGGUUUCUUAAGUCUGAUGUGAAAGCCCACGGCUCAACCGUGGAGGGUCAUUGGAAACUGGGAGACUUGAGUGCAGAAGAGGAAAGUGGAAUUCCAUGUGUAGCGGUGAAAUGCGUAGAGAUAUGG
rnacentral:rRNA from 1 species